CCUACGGGUGGCUGCAGUGGGGAAUAUUGGACAAUGGGCGAAAGCCUGAUCCAGCCAUGCCGCGUGUGUGAAGAAGGCCUUCGGGUUGUAAAGCACUUUCAGUGGGGAAGAAAGCCUUGGGGCUAAUACCCUCGAGGAAGGACAUCACCCACAGAAGAAGCACCGGCUAACUCCGUGCCAGCAGCCGCGGUAAUACGGAGGGUGCGAGCGUUAAUCGGAAUUACUGGGCGUAAAGCGCGCGUAGGCGGUCUGAUAAGCCGGUUGUGAAAGCCCCGGGCCCAACCUGGGAACGGCAUCCGGAACUGUCAGGCUAGAGUGCAGGAGAGGAAGGUAGAAUUCCCGGUGUAGCGGUGAAAUGCGUAGAGAUCGGGAGGAAUACCAGUGGCGAAGGCGGCCUUCUGGACUGACACUGACGCUGAGGUGCGAAAGCGUGGGUAGCAAACAGGAUUAGAUACCCGAGUAGUC
rnacentral:rRNA from 1 species